rnacentral:rRNA from 1 species
GUGCCUAAUACAUGCAAGUCGAGCGAACGGACGAGAGUGCUUGCACUCUCUGAUGUUAGCGGCGGACGGGUGAGUAACACGUGGGUAACCUACCUAUAAGACUGGGAUAACUUCGGGAAACCGGAGCUAAUACCGGAUAAUAUUUAGCUUCGCAUGAAGCAAUAGUGAAAGACGGUUCUGCUGUCACUUAUAGAUGGACCCGCGGUGUAUUAGCUAGUUGGUGAGGUAACGGCUCACCAAGGCAACGAUACAUAGCCGACCUGAGAGGGUGAUCGGCCACACUGGGACUGAGACACGGCCCAGACUCCUACGGGAGGCAGCAGUAGGGAAUCUUCCGCAAUGGACGAAAGUCUGACGGAGCAACGCCGCGUGAGUGAAGAAGGUUUUCGGAUCGUAAAACUCUGUUGUAAGGGAAGAACAAGUACGUUAGUAACUGAACGUACCUUGACGGUACCUUACCAGAAAGCCACGGCUAACUACGUGCCAGCAGCCGCGGUAAUACGUAGGUGGCAAGCGUUAUCCGGAAUUAUUGGGCGUAAAGCGCGCGUAGGCGGUCUCUUAAGUCUGAUGUGAAAGCCCCCGGCUCAACCGGGGAGGGUCAUUGGAAACUGGGAGACUUGAGUGCAGAAGAGGAGAGUGGAAUUCCAUGUGUAGCGGUGAAAUGCGCAGAGAUAUGGAGGAACACCAGUGGCGAAGGCGGCUCUCUGGUCUGUAACUGACGCUGAGGUGCGAAAGCGUGGGGAUCAAACAGGAUUAGAUACCCUGGUAGUCCACGCCGUAAACGAUGAGUGCUAAGUGUUGGGGGGUUUCCGCCCCUCAGUGCUGCAGCUAACGCAUUAAGCACUCCGCCUGGGGAGUACGGUCGCAAGACUGAAACUC